rnacentral:misc_RNA from 1 species
UCCUGGUUAACCCAGGCAGUCUCACUAGAGUUCCCACCUUCACGUGUUGGCAACUAGUAAUAAGGGUUGCGCUCGUUGCGGGACUUAACCCAACACCUCACGGCACGAGCUGACGACAGCCAUGCAGCACCUGUGCAGCGGCCCCUAAAGGAGGCGUAAUUUCUUACGCUGUCCACUGCAUGUCAAGCCUGGGUAAGGUUCUUCGCGUUGCAUCGAAUUAAACCACAUGCUCCACUGCUUGUGCGGGUCCCCGUCAAUUCUUUUGAGUUUCACCCUUGCGAGUGUACUCCCCAGGCGGUAUACUUAACGCGUUCGCUACGGCACAACCAGGGUUGAGUCCGGUUACACCAAGUAUACAUCGUUUACAGCAAGGACUAC